rnacentral:rRNA from 1 species
ACGCUCGACACCUACGGGAGGCAGCAGUUGGGAAUAUUGGACAAUGGAGGAAACUCUGAUCCAGUGACGCCGCGUGAAGGAAGAAGGUUCUUCGGAUUGUAAACUUAUUUUGUCAGGGAAGAAAAAUGACUGUACCUGAAGAAAAAGCACCGGCUAACUACGUGCAAGCAGCCGCGGUAAUCUGAGCGGGGCUGGCAAGGC